CACUGUUGUGUUUUUGUUACUUACAGGGGGUCCAGCAAAUCCAGCAGGCCCAGGAGGUCCAGUCUCACCCCUGUCACCCUGAAAGAAGAGAAGCAAGAAAAACUCAGUGGGUAGUCCAGGCUGCAACGCUGUGUGAGCAAGCGCACCGCGGGUACCAGGAGCUCCAGAAGGACCAGCAGGACCAGAUUCACCCUGAAAGGAAAGACAGCAUCAAGCCAUAAACACUGGGUUCAGAUACACUGUCAGUGACAGGUCCGGGAAUGCCAGCAGCUCCUCUCUCUCCAGGCAUACCCUGCAGGCCGGGGGGUCCUUGAGCUCCAGCGGCACCGGCAGGUCCAAUGGCUCCCUAUUACGGAGGAGAAAUAAAUGGAGAUGGAUUCAUGCAGUAACCUGAAGUUACUGUAUAUGAUGUAAGCGCCUGCUACAGAUGUGAGGAGGUGCCGUUUGCUUAGUGAUGCAUUCAAGAUUUUGCGCUGAAACCUUGACUUUUGUUGAGAAUGUUUUGCUGUCACUUUUCAGAUUGCUCUUGCCAAGACUUUGUGUUUAUUUACACACGAGUCAGAAAUACAAAAAUGCUGCUCUUAUAGAGUGAGAACGCAUCCACUUCAACAAAACAGACAAUCUUUGUCUCAGCAAGUUCUGCUCAAGGUUAUCAAUUGAUGGAAAGGACAGAAAAAAACAGCUGUUAAAUAUUAUUCACCUGACACAGGCUGUUCACUUUCUGGAUUAAAAUGAACUUUAGCCAACUCUUUUGCCCAAAAUUCAGUCAAUCAGUUUUGGAAAUAAAAAAUAUCUCAAAUUCCAUGUGUUCCUUUUAAAGCUGUAUUCUAAAGAAAGA